rnacentral:misc_RNA from 1 species
CAAGUCUUUGCGCAUCUUCGGCGCCACUGGCCUACGACGACCGCCUCUCCUCUCGCGCGCCACACGUCCCUGCGGGUGCUGUGCACGGUACCGCAUCGCAGCAUUUACGUGCAUCCUAUAACGGCGCGGUGCCAGCUGCACGAGAAGCACUCAGCGGCUUGUGUGAUGCCUGCAGCCCAAACGUGUAGCGUAGCAACGAUAAAAGCGAAUCACCAACGAGCGCUGCGGUCAGACGCGCUGCCUAUCAACGGCUGCCGCCCAUUCACGCACACGCAGUCAGGCCUCUCUUUGCUUUCCUUGUUUCUUUCCACCAGAAACCUCUUCGGUGCUCUGCUAUCCUUCCUCACGUGUGCGCGUGUGUGGCUGCCCUUCUUUCCUCCCUCGCCCGCCUCCAUGCAGCGGCCACUGUCACUAGUGGCCAAGGUCUGUGGAGCCGUGGCCGUCGGCUUCCUCGCCUAUCGCGGAGUGCAGCUCUACUUCAAGAAUGACAUUACCAUCUACAUAACCGAGGUGGUUCAACUGCCUCCCGCGGCAGUGCAGCGCGACCGGAAACCGUCACCGCGGAGCAACGCGAACCUUAGCGUCAACAUCGAGGGGACAGUAGAGAUGGAGACGUGUGUCAUGAAUAGCUACCGCUUUCUGCUCAAAUUGGCCGGUCACGUGCGCAGCUCCUUGUUCGACGCCGAGCGCGCCCCGACGAGUCCGCGCAGCUCGCGGCAUCGCGUGCUCUCUCUGCAGGCAAGCAACGCGCCAUCAGACGACUCCCUUUUCACGCACCUUAGCAGCAACUACGGCCUUUCAGCGUCCUCGAACAACCACGGCAGCGGCGGCAGUCAGCGGCACGGGCCGUCGCUCGUCAUCACAGCCGUGGACCCCAUUGUGGAUGCGUACGAGGCAGACGCCACCGGCGCGCUUGCCUUCACCCCGGCGUGCGUCGGGGACAGUGUGUUGUGCCGCUUUACGUGUGUCGCGUCCAUCGGCACGGCCGAGGGCGCCGGCAGCACGCCAGUGCGCUCCAGAGGCGUCCCCUCCUCCCUGUCACCGCCUUCCUCGAUGGUGAGCUCACCGCUGCCGUCUGGCGACACUGGUCUCGGAAACAUCGUCGUGCGACGUUGCAUUUUCGAGUCGGAUGGCGAAACGGCCUACUGCCAACGGCUGACAGUGGAAUUGGAGUUCGUUCGCCCCGUCUUUGGCGCGCGAGUCCUCAUCCGACUGCCGAGCCGCCACUGCCGUCUUCACCACAGCCACACCGGCGGCGUUGGCAGCGUCACCCAACUGCUCCACCAGCCACGAAAGUGCGUGUGGGACAUCGGCGCAGUGUCCGAGGAGAUGUGCACCCUGUCCAGCGACGGCACUGCCACUUCGGGGACAUCGGAAGGAGUCUCUGAAGAUGACUUGAUGCCCGGCGCCGUGAUCCCGGCCGCGCCCUGGUCGUCUGCGGCGAAGUCGCUCGCGACGCUAGAGCUCGUCUUCGAGCAGGCCCCACCUGCGCUCUCCUUUGGUGAGGACGACGAGGAGGCGGAGGCAACAGACAGCGAAGACGACAAUGAUAAUCGCUUUAGCAGCACCGGCAGCGCCGGCAGCGGUCACACACACAGCCGGCAUCGCCAGUCGGUCAGUAGCAGGAGCAGCAGCACUAGAAGGGCACUGACGGCGGCGGCUAGCACCACAGGUCGUGCUUGCAAGCGCGAGGAACGGGGGCGCAAGGCGAGCGAGAAAGCCGCACGUAUCAGAGAGGGCGGGAGCAGCACAAGCAUGCGGGCCGCUGGCGGCGAAGGUGUUCCGGCAGUAGAGCUGGUGUUUAGCGUGAAUCAGCUGCUCUCCGGCACAUCCGUGAAGAAGCUGCAGGUUGUCGAGGAGCGGCCAAACUGGACACCUCGCAGCCGGCUCGAUCGCCUCCUCUUCCGUCGUGUAGUUCCGGGGCUGGAGAAGUUGAAGCUGAAGAAGUACGCGCACUACACAACGUGGUUUGUGCAGCCUGUAGCGGUGUCACAGUUGUAGGGACUUGCUUCCUAUUCCGCAGACCACCAUUCCUGCACUCUAACACUCCUUCGCAAAGGUCACAUGAACGUGCUGGAGAGAGGGUAUCGUCGCCGUUGGAGAAGGGGGGAAGGUGUAUGGUGGCAAGGGGCGCGGACGGAAGGAGGGGGUUGGUGGGCGGUGUCCUUGUGUGCUCCCUGCACCGUGGUGGUGGUGUUUGUUUGCCUCUCCGACUCGGCAUGCGCUAGGCAGACGCAUGACUGCGCGUGAGUGCGUGCGUCGCUCUUCUGUCUCUCACCUAGGCCCCUCCCCCUUCCCUUUCCGGGCUGUGCCUCGACCAUCACUCGCGAAUCUUUACUCUCCAGCCUGUUGCUCCGUUGUCUGUGUACGCAGGUGAGUUGCCUCGACGCAGAUGGGCCAGCGAUGCAUCACCUCUCCACACUUUGUUGCCUUGGCGGUGCGCAUCGUCGCCCGCGCACGCACGCAAACGCAACCGGGUGCAGGCACUGCAGCGCACACACCACUGAAAGGUGGUGGGGAGACGAUGGGCUGGAUGUCAACAAUGUCGGUGGGGUUGUAGGUGUUGGAUGGCGGAGGGGAGGGGGCGUGCGCACCACCACUGGCUUCCGGAAGGGGGAGGAGCAUGCCUUGUGGUGUUGUAGGGGCUCUCACUGUUGCUCAGUAGCCGUACAUGUGCGUGCCUGUGUGGAUGGGUCGGUCUCCGUUUUUCAUGUUAUCAUAUAACACUUACAACGCGG